UACGGUGGAGGGCACUGUCGUUCGGAUUCGAAUUGGUGGCGUAAAAGAGCUCGUAGGCGGCUCAGUAAGUCGGGUGUGAAACCCUCAGGCUCAACCUGGGGACGCCACCCGAUACUGCUGUGGCUAGAGUCCAGUAGGGGAGUGUGGAAUUCCCGGUGUAGCGGUGAAAUGCGCAGAUAUCAGGGAGGAACACCAGUGGCGAAGGCGCCACUCUGGGCCGUAACUGACGCUGAGGAGCGAAAGCGUGGGUAGCAAACAGG
rnacentral:rRNA from 1 species